rnacentral:rRNA from 1 species
GAUGAACGCUAGCUACAGGCUUAACACAUGCAAGUCGAGUGGAAACGACAUCGAAAGCUUGCUUUUGAUGGGCGUCGACCGGCGCACGGGCGAGUAACGCGUAUCCAACCUGCCCAUCACUUGGGAAUAACCUUGCGAAAGUAAGACUAAUACCCAAUGAUAUCCCACGAAGGCAUCGGAAUGGGAUUAAAGAUUUAUCGGUGAUGGAUGGGGAUGCGUCUGAUUAGCUUGUUGGCGGGGUAACGGCCCACCAAGGCAACGAUCAGUAGGGGUUCUGAGAGGAAGGUCCCCCACAUUGGAACUGAGACACGGUCCAAACUCCUACGGGAGGCAGCAGUGAGGAAUAUUGGUCAAUGGGCGAGAGCCUGAACCAGCCAAGUAGCGUGCAGGAAGACGGCCCUAUGGGUUGUAAACUGCUUUUAUAAGGGAAUAAAGUGGGUCACGUGUGACUUUUUGCAUGUACCUUAUGAAUAAGGACCGGCUAAUUCCGUG